AUAAGCUGGACCCUCCUCUGGAAUCUGAAGCUUCCUCCAACCUUCUGAGUUAGAUUGAGGGGACUCAUUGCUGCUGGAUGGGCUCUAUUUGGGAAACGAGCUCCACCCUAUGUACAUACCAUGAUUGCUAAUACCUACCUGCUGAUUCCUCCUGUCAUGAACCCCAUCAUCUACAGUGUGAAGACCAAACAGAUACGUAAAGCUGUGAUAAAAGUUUUCCAAUCUAAAGAAAUAUAGAAUCAUAAAAGCCUAGAGCUAAACGGCCUGCUUCAGGCCAUGUUGUCAAUUAAGGCUAGACUACAUCUUGAAUGUCAGUUACUUUAGCCCCUUUACUUCACAGAUGAGGAGACGCUGAUAUAUAAGUGAGAAGCAAUAUAUAGCCUUAUGCCUAGAGUUCCUCUUCCUCCACACCAUUUCUUCUAAGCUGGUGCUUUUCUAACUUUGUCAAUAGCCCUUUUAUUCUUAUCUCAUCAUAGCAGUUACAUUUUCAUAUUAAUUUCAUAUUACAUCAUUCCUUUGUAGAAAAGUAGGUAGCAUUUUCUAACGCUCUGCCAUCUACUGUUCAAAGAAACUUCUCUGAUGAGGAUUGAUAGCUUCUUAUAGAGAAAGAUGUGUAUUUAGAAGGUAGUUUGAUACUAUGUCCAUUUGGCAAAAUAAUAGCAGUAGUUUAAUCCUGGGGCCUGUGAUCUUCACAACCAUGAGUUCUUGGUCAGAUUUACAACAUUAGACAUAAAUAAGUACUGUGAAGUUAGCUUUAAAGCACAUCAUAAAACAGGUGUUUUACCCUCAAAACAUUUUACCAUGAUUUCACCCAUGAAUAUAUUUUGCCAGUUCUAUCAUUAUUGCAGCUUGUGGUACUCACAGCUGGGUAAGGUGAUCAGUGACUUUUGUUCCCUAGCAGCCUGGAUGGCACCUUCUGGUCCUAUGAAAACCACCCAGCAGGGGGAGCUUCCAGAUCCCUGGAGCAUCAGCUGGUAUACCAACAGCUUGUUCCCCGAGCCUACUGAGUAGCGUUAUAAAGAGACCUGGUCCGGAAAGGGAAAGCCAGACCCUGCUGCUCUCCUUGAGUAGAACUGCGCCAUUCCCAGGAAAAAGGCAUGGACAAGCUUUAUUAAAGACCUUGGUUAGAAGAGGAGUAUAAUCCUGGGAGAGAGAAACAAGUUAAUCUGGAUCCCUGGAUACUGUCAACAAAGACACCUGCAUCUUUACUUCUCAUCAAAGCUCCUAAUGCUGACAGCCAGACCAGGCUGUCCUGAUGUUAACCAGCUCUGAAAUCAGAACAUUAGGGAGCUGGGCAGGAAAAGGCUUUGAUGUGAGAGCUCAAGUGUUUGGGUCAGAUACGGGGUUGAAACAAAAUAACAUUAUGCUAUACAAAAUAAAAAGAAAUAACUCCUC
rnacentral:lncRNA from 1 species